AUAAGACGAGAAGACCCUAUGGAGCUUUAGACACCAGGCAGAUCACGUCAAGUAACCUUGAAUUAACAAGUAAAAACGCAGUGACCCCUAGCCCAUAUGUCUUUGGUUGGGGCGACCGCGG
rnacentral:rRNA from 1 species